GCCCAGACUCCUACGGGAGGCAGCAGUGGGGAAUAUUGCACAAUGGGGGAAACCCUGAUGCAGCGACGCCGCGUGAGCGAUGAAGUAUUUCGGUAUGUAAAGCUCUAUCAGCAGGGAAGAAGAUGACGGUACCUGACUAAGAAGCCCCGGCUAACUACGUGCCAGCAGCCGCGGUAAUACGUAGGGGGCAAGCGUUAUCCGGAUUUACUGGGUGUAAAGGGAGCGUAGACGGCGAUGCAAGCCAGAUGUGAAAGCCCGGGGCUCAACCCCGGGACUGCAUUUGGAACUGUGUGGCUGGAGUGUCGGAGAGGCAGGCGGAAUUCCUAGUGUAGCGGUGAAAUGCGUAGAUAUUAGGAGGAACACCAGUGGCGAAGGCGGCCUGCUGGACGAUGACUGACGUUGAGGCUCGAAAGCGUGGGGAGCAAACAGGAUUAGAUACCCCCGUAU
rnacentral:rRNA from 1 species